rnacentral:rRNA from 1 species
CCUACGGGAGGCUGCAGUGGGGGAUAUUGCUCAAUGGGGGAAACCCUGAUGCAGCAACGCCGCGUGAGUGAAGAAGUAUUUCGGUAUGUAAAGCUCUAUCAGCAGGGAAGAGAAUGACGGUACCUGACUAGGAAGCCACGGCUAACUACGGGCCAGCAGCCGCGGUAAUACGUCGGGGGCGAGCGGUAUCCGGAUUUACUGGGUUUAAAGGGUGCGUAGGCGGAAUGCCAAGUCAGCGGGAAAAUCGCGGGGCUCAACCUCGCUCCGCCGUUGAAACUGGCGUUCUUGAGUGGGCGAGAAGUAUGCGGAAUGCGUGGUGUAGCGGUGAAAUGCAUAGAUAUCACGCAGAACUCCGAUUGCGAAGGCAGCAUACCGGCGCCCAACUGACGCUGAAGCACGAAAGCGUGGGUAUCGAACAGGAUUAGAUACCCGUGUAGUC